UACAGAGGGCCCAAGCGUUGUUCGGAUUCACUGGGCGUAAAGGGUGCGUAGGUGGUGGGGUAAGUCUGAUGUGAAAUCUCCGAGCUUAACUCGGAAAUGGCAUUGGAAACUACCUUGCUAGAGGUUUGGAGGGGAGACUGGAAUUCUUGGUGUAGCAGUGAAAUGCGCAGAUAUCAGGAGGAACACCGGUGGCGAAGGCGGUUCUCUGGGCAUGUCCUGACGCUGAGGAGCGAAAGUGUGGGGAGCGAACAGG
rnacentral:rRNA from 1 species